UACGUAGGGUGCAAGCGUUGUCCGGAAUUAUUGGGCGUAAAGAGCUCGUAGGCGGCCUGUCGCGUCGGAUGUGAAAAUCCAAGGCUCAACCUUGGACCUGCAUUCGAUACGGGCAGGCUAGAGUUCGGUAGGGGAGACUGGAAUUCCUGGUGUAGCGGUGAAAUGCGCAGAUAUCAGGAGGAACACCGGUGGCGAAGGCGGGUCUCUGGGCCGUAACUGACGCUGAGGAGCGAAAGCAUGGGGAGCGAACAGG
rnacentral:rRNA from 1 species